rnacentral:misc_RNA from 1 species
CCGAAGAAGGGGAAAAGAAGUGUGCCACAAGAUGCACAAUUUUUUUACCACAAAAUGUAAUCUAUAACAAUAAGCUACCUUACCCACUAAAACAAGAUUCAAAAAGAAUGACGAAAGAAAAAAAAAAUUACAAACACCCAUCAUCCUGUCAUCAGAACUAGUUUUUUGUACGUCUUUUUUCAGACAUAAGUGUCACCUGCACGUAAUGCCCGUUAAAAAAUAAUUUGAUCUUAUGAUCCGCAGCAAGCUGAUUUUUGGGCAGCUUCACCAGCCCCCCCUGCCUGGCCUGGUUGAUUAAUCUUAAUUGUUGUUGGCUCAGCCCUCGAGUCCAUAUCAGCAAGCCUUUGCUUUAUAUCCCUUGCUAUUGAAAAGAAAACUUCCUCGACAUUUAGAUUUGUCUUCGCACUAGUUUCAAAGAACUUGAUACCGUACUCAUCAGCAAGUGCUUGGCCCUUAGAUGUGGGGACAGCCCUUUUGCUUUCAUCCAUGUCAGCCUUGUUCCCCACCAA